rnacentral:rRNA from 1 species
UUCUUUUUGGGUUUUUAAAAAGUAUAACCUGCUCAAUGAUUAUUUAAAUAGCCGCGAUAUUUAAUCGUGCAAAGGUAGCAUAGUAACUUGUCUCUUAAUUAGGGUCUUGAAUGAAAGGUUGAACGAAGAAAGUUCUUUUUUAAUUAAAUUUUUUUUAAUUUUAUUUUUUAGUUAAAAAGCUAAAAUUUUUCUAUGGGACGAUAAGACCCUAUAGAAUUUAACUAUAAAAAUAGUUAUUUUAUCAUAAUAAAAAUAACUAUUUUUAUAGUUUGAUUGGGGCGAUUAUUAUAUACAAUUAACUAUAUUUUAUAAUUUCUCAUUUAUUUAUGAUUAUUUGAUCCUAAAGUUUAGAUUAUAAGAUUAAAUUACCUUAGGGAUAACAGCGUAAUUUUCUUGGAGAGUUCUUAUUAAUAAGAAAGAUUGCGA